rnacentral:rRNA from 1 species
CCAACGGGGAUGCUUAGUACGGCGAGUGAAGCGGCAAAAGCUCAAAUUUGAAAUCUGGUACCUUCGGUGCCCGAGUUGUAAUUUGGAGAGGGCAACUUUGGGGCCGUUCCUUGUCUAUGUUCCUUGGAACAGGACGUCAUAGAGGGUGAGAAUCCCGUGUGGCGAGGAGUGCGGUUCUUUGUAAAGUGCCUUCGAAGAGUCGAGUUGUUUGGGAAUGCAGCUCUAAGUGGGUGGUAAAUUCCAUCUAAAGCUAAAUAUUGGCGAGAGACCGAUAGCGAACAAGUACAGUGAUGGAAAGAUGAAAAGAACUUUGAAAAGAGAGUGAAAAAGUACGUGAAAUUGUUGAAAGGGAAGGGCAUUUGAUCAGACAUGGUGUUUUGUGCCCUCUGCUCCUUGUGGGUAGGGGAAUCUCGCAUUUCACUGGGCCAGCAUCAGUUUUGGUGGCAGGAUAAAUCCAUAGGAAUGUAGCUUGCCUCGGUAAGUAUUAUAGCCUGUGGGAAUACUGCCAGCUGGGACUGAGGACUGCGACGUAAGUCAAGGAUGCUGGCAUAAUGGUUAUAUGCCGCCCGUCUUGAAAACCCGAACCA